UUUACAUUUCUGGUCAAUUAUUAGUACAGUUAUUUAUAAUUUAAUCUGAAAGUUGUGCUACUUGGUUUAUUUUUAAUAGAAUUUAGGAAAUGCCAACCUUGGUGUUUCGUUAUUUUACAAAAUAAUAAUUAAGAGAAUAUAAGAGUGGAAUUUCUCUAGGGAAUGGGUUGGAAAAUAUGUAGUUAUAUUUUUCAUAUCAAGUUAUAAAUGGAUUAAAGUUUGGCCAUUGUAUUCAAAGUUUGGAGCUAAGGCAGUCUUCGG
rnacentral:lncRNA from 1 species